GUUGUUUUUACAUCGCGAAAGGAGGCAAAAUGGGCGAAACAAUUGGAUGCUAAUUAAUAUUUAUAUUCCGGUGAUUUCAUAUACCAAAUGGAACUUCGUAUCAAUAUAGAUGCAUACUGUCAGUCAUUCCAAAAAGUUGACUCAGCGCUCAGUCACUUUCCCUCCAAUAGACCCAUCAUGUUGUCAAAAGCCUUAAAACUCAUCUGUGAAGCUCACAUAUCGUGGAAUACAAAUGUGCGGAGACAAGGUAUUUCCCCAUUCCGCUACCACACCAACCACACCACAUCAAAUGCCUUACUAAAUUCAUCACCAUUCACAUAUGAUAAAGCAUCAGGAAAUUUACCUCAACCUGAAGAGUAAGGCUGUUGGUUGCUGUGAUUUCCAUUUUGCGGUUUUUUAUCAUGAAAACUUCAGUGUGCUUGUUAGUAUAGAGCUCAUAAUAGAUCCUUAAGCCAAUGCUGACCUUUGUCCAUGAAGGAAGAGG